UUCGGAUGAUACCACAAAAUCAAGCAUAGUUCACUCUGAAUCAAAAUCAUGUCGAACUCAAACUAGAAAUUAGUCUUUCGCUCCUAUCUGAUCCUUA
rnacentral:snoRNA from 1 species